rnacentral:rRNA from 1 species
AGAUUGAACGCUAGCGGGAUGCUUUACACAUGCAAGUCGAACGGCAGCGCGGACUUCGGUCUGGCGGCGAGUGGCGAACGGGGUGAGUAAUAUAUCGGAACGUGCCCAGUAGCGGGGGGAUAACUACGCGAAAGCGUGGCUAAUACCGCAUACGCCCUACGGGGGAAAGGGGGGGAUUCUUCGGAACCUCUCACGUAUUGGAGCGGCCGAUAUCAGAUUAGCUAGUUGGUGAGGUAAAGGCUUACACCAAGGCGACGAUCUGUAGCUGGUUUGAGAGGACGACCAGCCCACACUGGGACUGAGACACGGCCCUAGGACUCCCGUACGGGAGGCAGCGAAGUGGGGGUAAAUUUUCGGGACAAGUGGGGGGGUAAAACCCCUGGACUCCAGGUCCACUCCCGCGUGUGCGAUACGAAGGCCUUCGGGUUA